GACGAACGCUGGCGGCGUGCUUAACACAUGCAAGUCGAGCGGUAAGGCCCUUUCGGGGGUACACGAGCGGCGAACGGGUGAGUAACACGUGGGUGACCUGCCCUCAGCUCUGGGAUAAGCCUGGGAAACUGGGUCUAAUACUGGAUAUGACUCCACGGUGCAUGUCGUGGGGUGGAAGGCCUUGUGCGGCUGAGGAUGGGCCCGCGGCCUAUCAGCUUGUUGGUGGGGUGAUGGCCUACCAAGGCGACGACGGGCAGCCGGCCUGAGAGGGCGACCGGCCACACUGGGACUGAGACACGGCCCAGACUCCUACGGGAGGCAGCAGUGGGGAAUCUUGCGCAAUGGGCGAAAGCCUGACGCAGCGACGCCGCGUGAGGGAUGACGGCCU
rnacentral:rRNA from 1 species